AUGCUGCUGCUGGCAGCGCUUCUGGCCACAGCCGCUUGCUCUUACGGAUAUGCACAAGAACUACCCAUGCAGAGCCAUAUAUCAAUCCCCAAGGCUAAAGGCAGUGUACGCCUGGAAUGUGACUUUAAAGAUAUCUCUGAAGAUUUUGGUGGCCUUGUGAUACAUUGGUAUCAUCAGAAGGAGGGUAAAGCUCCACAGAGGCUACUGUUCUUUUCAUCAGGGACAGCUUCAGUUGAAAGUGGCUUUCAAGCAUACAGGUACAUGGUUGAAAAAGUUUCUGGCCAGAAACGGUGUGUUUUCACAAUAAAAGAUGUAAUUCCAGACGAUGCUGCUACUUACUACUGCGCCUACUGGGAACCUCACUGUUACAGAAACUCUAAGAUCAUUCAGGCAAUAAUUAAAAGCCCCUCCCUUAACGUCUGA